AAACCAUUCGCCGUGGGUCGCACCCGCUAUGUAGGGAUACCCCAUCUAGUCUUAACGAGCUUUGAAGCAUGCAAAAAUUCUAA
rnacentral:sRNA from 1 species